GAUGAACGCUAGCGGCAGGCCUAAUACAUGCAAGUCGAACGGUAAGUAUUUUAGCAAUAGAGUACGAGAGUGACGUACGGGUGCGUAACACGUAUGCAACCUACCCUUUACAGGAGGAUAGCUCGGGGAAACUCGAAUUAACCCUCCAUGAGAUCAUAGAAUGGCAUCAUUUAGUGAUUAAAACUGAGGUGGUAAAGGAUGGGCAUGCGUCUGAUUAGUUAGUUGGCGGGGUAACGGCCCACCAAGACGAUGAUCAGUAGGGGAACUGAGAGGUUGAUCCCCCACACUGGCACUGAGAUACGGGCCAGACUCCUACGGGAGGCAGCAGUAGGGAAUAUUGGUCAAUGGAUGGAAGUCUGAACCAGCCAUGCCGCGUGCAGGAAGAAGGCCUUCUGGGUUGUGAACUGCUUUUGCCAGGGGAUAAAAAGACCGUGCGCGGUUAAUUGAAGGUACCUGGUGAAUAAGCCACGGCUAACUACGUGCCAGCAGCCGCGGUAAUACG
rnacentral:rRNA from 1 species